rnacentral:misc_RNA from 1 species
GAUGAAGAACGCAGCGAAAUGCGAUACGUAAUGUGAAUUGCAGAAUCCAGUGAAUCAUCGAAUCUUUGAACGCACAUUGCGCCCGCCAGUAUUCUGGCGGGCAUGCCUGUCCGAGCGUCAUUUCAACCAUCAAGCCUAGUGCUUGUGUUGGGGCCCCGCGGCUGCCGCGGGCCCUGAAAACCAGUGGCGGGCUCGAAGUCGAACCUAGUGCAGUAAAUUUCUUCGCUUGGGAAGGUGACGAGUUCCGGCCGUAAAAAGCCCAACUUUAUCAAGGUUGACCUCGGAUCAGGUAGGACUACCCGCUGAACUUAAGCAUAUCAAUAAGCGGAG